UUGAGUUUAGGUUAUAGGUUUUGGUUUAGGUUUUAGGUUUAGGUUUAGGUUUAGGUUUAGGUCUAGGUUUAGGGAUUUGAGUUUAGGUUAUAGGUUUUGGUUUAGGUUUUAGGUUUAGGUUAAGUUUUAGGUUUAGGUUAUAGGUUUUUGGAUUUGAGAAUGG